rnacentral:tRNA from 2 species
GCAAUCGUGGCCGAGUGGUUAAGGCGAUGGACUAGAAAUCUAUUGGGGCCUUUUCUCGCACGGGUUCGAAUCCUGUCGACUGCG